rnacentral:rRNA from 1 species
GAUGAACGCUGGCGGCGUGCUUAACACAUGCAAGUCGAACGGAAAGGCUCCUGCUUGCAGGGGUACUCGAGUGGCGAACGGGUGAGUAACACGUGGGUGAUCUGCCCUGCACUUCGGGAUAAGCCUGGGAAACUGGGUCUAAUACCGGAUAGGACGAUGGUUUGGAUGCCAUUGUGGAAAGUUUUUUCGGUGUGGGAUGAGCUCGCGGCCUAUCAGCUUGGUGGUGGGGUAAUGGCCUACCAAGGCGUCGACGGGUAGCCGGCCUGAGAGGGUGUACGGCCACAUUGGGACUGAGAUACGGCCCAGACUCCUACGGGAGGCAGCAGUGGGGAAUAUUGCACAAUGGGCGCAAGCCUGAUGCAGCGACGCCGCGUGGGGGAUGACGGCCUUCGGGUUGUAAACUCCUUUCGCUAGGGACGAAGCGCAAGUGACGGUACCUGGAGAAGAAGCACCGGCUAACUACGUG